UACGUAGGCAGCGAGCGUUGUUCGGAGUUACUGGGCGUAAAGGGUGUGUAGGCGGUUGUUUAAGUUUGGUGUGAAAUCUCCCGGCUCAACUGGGAGGGUGCGCCGAAUACUGAAUGACUAGAGUGCGGGAGAGGAAAGUGGAAUUCCUGGUGUAGCGGUGAAAUGCGUAGAUAUCAGGAGGAACACCGGUGGCGAAGGCGGCUCUCUGGACGGUGACUGACGCUGAGAAGCGAAAGCAUGGGUAGCAAACAGG
rnacentral:rRNA from 1 species